AGAUACCGUCGUAGUCCUAACUAUAAACGAUGUCAACCAAGGAUUGGAUGAAAUUCAGAUGUACAAAGAUAGAGAAGCAUUGUUUCUAGAUCUGAGUAUAUCAAUAUUACCUUGUUCAGAACUUAAAGAGAAAUCUUGAGUUUAUGGACUUCAGGGGGAGUAUGGUCACAAGGCUGAAACUUAAAGGAAUUGACGGAAGGGCACACCAGGAGUGGAGCCUGCGGCUUAAUUUGACUCAACACGGGAAAACUUA
rnacentral:rRNA from 1 species